UGCCAGCAGCCGCGGUUAAACCAAGAAAUUAAGUCAUAUUUUACGGUAAAAAGAUAGUUAGAUAUUAAUAAAAUAGGUUUUUGAAUGGUUUAUAUAAAAGUAAAAUUUAAAUAUAAAUUUUUAGACUAAAAAUAACUUAAUAAAUUGAAUCUAUAAAAAUCUUGAGGGAAACUGGGACUAGAUACCCCAUUAUUCUUGAUUAUAAAAGUAUAAAUUACCAGAGUACUACGAAUAAAAUAAAAUUUAAAACUCAAAGGGCUUGGCGGUGUCUUAGACCAUUUAGGGGAACCUGUCUCAUAAUCGAUAAUCCACGUUAUACCUAACUUUUUUUUGUAUUCAGCUUGUAUACCGUUGUCGUCAGGUAACUUUUAAAAAAUUAUAAGUUAGCUAUAAACUUUUAAUUAAAACGUCAGAUCAAGGUGCAGCUUAUAAAAAUGGGAGGAUGGGUUACAAUUAAUAUUUAUAAUUACGGAUGAUUUUUUGAAAAAUAGUUUGAAGGAGGACUUAAAAGUAAAUUAGACUAUAAAAAUACUUUGAAUAAGGCUCUGAGAUGUGCACACAUCGCCCGCCACUCU
rnacentral:rRNA from 1 species